rnacentral:rRNA from 1 species
UACGAAGGGGGCUAGCGUUGCUCGGAAUCAUUGGGCGUAAAGCGCACGUAGGCGGCUUCUUAAGUCGGUGGUGAAAUCCUGGAGCUCAACUCCAGAACUGCCUCGAUACUGGGAGCUCGAGUCCGGGAGAGGUGAGUGGAACUGCGAGUGUAGAGGUGAAAUUCGUAGAUAUUCGCAAGAACACCAGUGGCGAAGGCGGCUCACUGGCCCGGUACUGACGCUGAGGUGCGAAAGCGUGGGGAGCAAACAGGG